rnacentral:lncRNA from 1 species
GCCCAACCACCAGCCCCGUCCCUCCUAUUGCAAAUGAAGUGUUCCUAGUCACCUUUGGAGAGGUUUCUAUCAGCAUUUUAGAUAGAAUUUCUCUUUAAAGCUCUAUGUCCUGGUUUUGUUAGUAAUGCAUGAAAAUGUCAAGGAUUCAUGGAAUUUUUAUCCUUGGUUACUUUUUGGAAUGUAAUUGUAUCCGUUACCUUUGAAUCCAUUGGCUCAGGUUCUCUAAGUAAAUCAUCCACUGCAAACUCCUUGAGGUAGGGACUGGUUUUUUUUUUUUCUCUCAUCAGUAACCUCAUCACUUAGCACAGAGCCUAGUAUACAGUAGGUAUACCCUGCUUAGUCUUUAGAAUUCUAGCAACCAGGAAUGCAUACACCCCCGCUUAAGGAUUAACUGUGAGAAGCAUGGCCUAUGACUGGCAUUUGCUAGCAAGUGACAAAUCAGGAACAACUGACUGACCCCCUGGGCUGUCCAAAGCCAAGAUUAAGGCACCAUUAGUACAUGUGAGACACAGGAAGUGACAUAAAGAAAGGCCUUUAUAUUUUGUGUCACUUCCUGUGAGAGGGGCUUUUGUGGACUUUGGUGGUGGAACGUGGCUUGAUGGAGCUCUAGCAUGGGACCUCCAUCUUCUUCCCUGAACAACCAUGUGGCUAUCCAGAUUUAAAUACAGCAGUAAGCCGGAGGAGCAACAUGACAAUGGUGGUCCACACUGCUUAUAUGAUUUCAAAAAUAUUAUUCAGCUGAGGCUCUUUUAUGCAGGAGAAAGAACAAGGAAGGAGAGUUGCAUACUGGGAGCUAAGAUGAUGAGUAAAGGAUGCUCGACUCCCUCAAUCCCCCCCCACUCCCACACCCAAAAGGAAAUAAAUUACUUCAAAACAAAGGAAAACUGGAGGAUCCUGCCUUACUCAGAUGAGAAGACAUAUUUCAAAAAGCAAAGAACCCAGAUCUACAACCUAGAAUUACGCUCCCAACAAAACUGAGCAUAAUCUUGUAGAGGAAAAAAAUGACAUUCAAUUAGAUAGAGGAAUUUCAGAAAUUUCUGACAAAAACCAGAGCUAAAAAGAAAAUUUUAUGAGCAAUUUUGACAUUCAAUAAAAGUUAAAUUAAAACUUAAG